rnacentral:lncRNA from 1 species
GAGAUCUGAUGGUUCUAUAAGGGGGAGUUUCCCUGCAUAAGCUCUCUCUGUGCCUGCUGCCAUCCACGUAAGAUGUGACUUGCUCCUCCUUGCCUUCCGUCAUGAUUGUGAGGCGCUCCCAGCCAUGUGGAACUAGUUUCUUAGCAGGCAUUUUGGAGGAAAAGAUUUGGAUCAGAAAUUCAGAAAUUACCUGGGCUCACAAAUAUAUGCCCCUCCAGCACCAUCCUGCAUUCUGCUUCCAAGAUACAUGAGCUUUCUGAAGAGCUGGUGAGAAUGCUGAAACUUCCUGGCCUUGGUUUCCCAUCUGGUAAAAUGAGGAAGACCAAAGCUUAACUCUCACAAGGAAUAUGCAGAUGAGGAAACCGAAGCUCUUGGGGUAACACGACUUGUGAAACUGCAUGCUACUCCUCAGUGGCAGGGUGGGGACUCUGGACAGAGGAACUGGCAAGGUCUUCUAGACCUUUGACGUGCAUAAACUGGCAGGUUUACAGAAUAACGAGGAAAACAAAGUGAAACAAAAGACUGUACCCGUGUGCUAAGAAUUUAUUACCCGCACAUCAAAAAACUUAUCCAUCACGAUCAAGCUGGCUUCAUCCCUGGG